rnacentral:rRNA from 1 species
UCACGCCGGUCUAAACUCAAAUCAUGUAAAAUUUUAAAGGUCGAACAGACCUAAUAUUCUUAACUGCUACACCAAGAAUUAAUUUUAAUCCAACAUCGAGGUCGCAAACUUCAUUUUCGAUUAGAACUCUCAAAAAAUAUUACGCUGUUAUCCCUAAGGUAAUUUUUUCUUUUAAUCAUAAAAUAUGGAUCAAAUAAUCAUAUAUCAAUGUUUUUAACAAAAAAAAGUUAAUUAAAUUUUUCAAUCACCCCAAUCAAAUAUAAAAAAAAAUUAAAAAUUUUUAUACCAAUAAAUAUUAAUACUUAUAUUUAUAUAAAACUCUAUAGGGUCUUCUCGUCUUUCAAAAUAAUUUUAGCUUUUUAACUAAAUAAUAAAUUUAUAAUUUAAUUUAAAUAGAGACAGCUAUUUUCUCAUCCAACCAUUCAUUCCAGCUUCUAAUUAAGAAACUAAUGAUUAUGCUACCUUAGCACGGUCAAAAUACCGCGGCCAUUUAACUGUUCAGUGGGCAGGCUAGACCUAAAAUUAAACUCAAUAGGACAUGUUUUUAAUAAACAGGUGAAAAAUAUAUUUGCCGAAUUCCUUUAUUUAACCUAAAAUUACUAAAUUAAUUUUACAUUAAAUUAUACUAAUUUUAUCAUUAUUACUUAAUAUAAAAAAUUAAAAUUAAAAUUUCAAUAAAAAAUUUAUAGAAAAUAAAAAUCAAAUUUUAAACAAAAUAAAUUAUAACAUUCUUAUAACAAUAGACACUUCUAAUCCUAUAAUUUUCCUUAACUUUCAAUUCUAAUAAUUUUCUAUUCUUAAGCUUAUCCCUAAAAAUAUUAAAUAUUAAUAUUAAAAAAUUAAAAAAUUAAAUUUUUAAUAAAUAAUAUUCUAAAUUAAAUUUUUUUCUUAAAAAACCAGAUAUAUUUAAAAACGAUUAACAUUUCACUACAAAAAAUUUAUUGAUUAUAUUUUUUAAACAAUAAAAAAAAAUAAAUUCUUAACUCUUUUAAAUUCGAGAUAAUAAAAUCCUUUAAAUAAAUUAAAUAAACCCUGAUACACAAGGUACGAAAAUUUAAAUCUUCUUAUAAAAAAUUAAAAUAAUUCUUUCACAAUACUCAUAAACUAUCAUAAAAAAUAUUUUUUCUUUAUGAAUAAUAAAAAAUAAUUUAUUUAUAAUAAAGUAAAAUUUAAUUAUUAUUAAUCAAUAAUUACCUAAUU